rnacentral:rRNA from 1 species
GGUUAAGCGACUAAGCGUACACGGUGGAUGCCCUGGCAGUCAGAGGCGAUGAAGGACGUGCUAAUCUGCGAAAAGCGUCGGUAAGGUGAUAUGAACCGUUAUAGCCGGCGAUGUCCGAAUGGGGAAACCCAGUGCAAUUCGUUGCACUAUCGUUAACUGAAUACAUAGGUUAACGAGGCGAACCGGGGGAACUGAAACAUCUAAGUACCCCGAGGAAAAGAAAUCAACCGAGAUUCCCCCAGUAGCGGCGAGCGAACGGGGAGCAGCCCAGAGUCUGAAUCAGCUUGUGUGUUAGUGGAACGGUCUGGAAAGUCCGACGGUACAGGGUGAUAGUCCCGUACACCAAAAUGCACAGGUUGUGAACUCGAAGAGUAGGGCGGGACACGUGGUAUCCUGUCUGAAUAUGGGGGGACCAUCCUCCAAGGCUAAAUACUCCUGACUGACCGAUAGUGAACCAGUACCGUGAGGGAAAGGCGAAAAGAACCCCGGCGAGGGGAGUGAAAAAGAACCUGAAACCGUGUACGUACAAGCAGUGGGAGCACCUUCGGGUGUGACUGCGUACCUUUUGUAUAAUGGGUCAGCGACUUAUAUUCUGUAGCAAGGUUAACCGUAUAGGGGAGCCGCAGGGAAACCGAGUCUUAACUGGGCGUUAAGUUGCAGGGUAUAGACCCGAAACCCGGUGAUCUAGCCAUGGGCAGGUUGAAGGUUGGGUAACACUAACUGGAGGACCGAACCGACUAAUGUUGAAAAAUUAGCGGAUGACUUGUGGCUGGGGGUGAAAGGCCAAUCAAACCGGGAGAUAGCUGGUUCUCCCCGAAAGCUAUUUAGGUAGCGCCUCGUGAACUCAUCUUCGGGGGUAGAGCACUGUUUCGGCUAGGGGGUCAUCCCGACUUACCAACCCGAUGCAAACUACGAAUACCGAAGAAUGUUAUCACGGGAGACACACGGCGGGUGCUAACGUCCGUCGUGAAGAGGGAAACAACCCAGACCGCCAGCUAAGGUCCCAAAGUCAUGGUUAAGUGGGAAACGAUGUGGGAAGGCACAGACAGCCAGGAUGUUGGCUUAGAAGCAGCCAUCAUUUAAAGAAAGCGUAAUAGCUCACUGGUCGAGUCGGCCUGCGCGGAAGAUGUAACGGGGCUAAACCAUGCACCGAAGCUGCGGCAGCGACACGAUGUGUUGUUGGGUAGGGGAGCGUUCUGUAAGCCUGCGAAGGUGGCCUGUGAGGGUUGCUGGAGGUAUCAGAAGUGCGAAUGCUGACAUAAGUAACGAUAAAGCGGGUGAAAAGCCCGCUCGCCGGAAGACCAAGGGUUCCUGUCCAACGUUAAUCGGGGCAGGGUGAGUCGACCCCUAAGGCGAGGCCGAAAGGCGUAGUCGAUGGGAAACAGGUUAAUAUUCCUGUACUUGGUGUUACUGCGAAGGGGGGACGGAGAAGGCUAUGUUAGCCGGGCGACGGUUGUCCCGGUUUAAGCAUGUAGGCUGGUUAUCCAGGCAAAUCCGGAUAAUCAAGGCUGAGGUGUGAUGACGAGGCACUACGGUGCUGAAGUAACAAAUGCCCUGCUUCCAGGAAAAGCCUCUAAGCAUCAGGUAACAUCAAAUCGUACCCCAAACCGACACAGGUGGUCAGGUAGAGAAUACCAAGGCGCUUGAGAGAACUCGGGUGAAGGAACUAGGCAAAAUGGUGCCGUAACUUCGGGAGAAGGCACGCUGGUGUGUAGGUGAAGUCCCUGCGGAUGGAGCUGAGACCAGUCGAAGAUACCAGCUGGCUGCAACUGUUUAUUAAAAACACAGCACUGUGCAAACACGAAAGUGGACGUAUACGGUGUGACGCCUGCCCGGUGCCGGAAGGUUAAUUGAUGGGGUUAUCCGUAAGGAGAAGCUCUUGAUCGAAGCCCCGGUAAACGGCGGCCGUAACUAUAACGGUCCUAAGGUAGCGAAAUUCCUUGUCGGGUAAGUUCCGACCUGCACGAAUGGCGUAAUGAUGGCCAGGCUGUCUCCACCCGAGACUCAGUGAAAUUGAACUCGCUGUGAAGAUGCAGUGUACCCGCGGCAAGACGGAAAGACCCCGUGAACCUUUACUAUAGCUUGACACUGAACAUUGAGCCUUGAUGUGUAGGAUAGGUGGGAGGCUUUGAAGCGUGGACGCCAGUCUGCGUGGAGCCAACCUUGAAAUACCACCCUUUAAUGUUUGAUGUUCUAACGUGGGCCCCUGACCGGGGUUGCGGACAGUGUCUGGUGGGUAGUUUGACUGGGGCGGUCUCCUCCCAAAGCGUAACGGAGGAGCACGAAGGUUAGCUAAUCCUGGUCGGACAUCAGGAGGUUAGUGCAAUGGCAUAAGCUAGCUUGACUGCGAGCGUGACGGCGCGAGCAGGUGCGAAAGCAGGUCAUAGUGAUCCGGUGGUUCUGAAUGGAAGGGCCAUCGCUCAACGGAUAAAAGGUACUCCGGGGAUAACAGGCUGAUACCGCCCAAGAGUUCAUAUCGACGGCGGUGUUUGGCACCUCGAUGUCGGCUCAUCACAUCCUGGGGCUGAAGUAGGUCCCAAGGGUAUGGCUGUUCGCCAUUUAAAGUGGUACGCGAGCUGGGUUUAGAACGUCGUGAGACAGUUCGGUCCCUAUCUGCCGUGGGCGCUGGAGAAUUGAGGGGGGCUGCUCCUAGUACGAGAGGACCGGAGUGGACGCAUCACUGGUGUUCGGGUUGUCAUGCCAAUGGCACUGCCCGGUAGCUAAAUGCGGAAGAGAUAAGUGCUGAAAGCAUCUAAGCACGAAACUUGCCCCGAGAUGAGUUCUCCCUGAGACUAUAAGUCUCCUGAAGGAACGUUGAAGACGACGACGUUGAUAGGCCGGGUGUGUAAGCGCAGCGAUGCGUUGAGCUAACCGGUACUAAUGAACCGUGAGGCUUAACCUU